CAAUCAUCGCGCGCGGGCGGUGCGUUGAUCAUUCAAAAGUGAGCACGCGCGGAGAGGUGCACGCGGUGACGAACAACAUUCCCCGCCCGGCAUCUCCCCCUCCCUCCGCCCAACCGUAACCGCUGAAGUCACUUUAAGAGGAUUGAAAUGGAGAGAGUACAUUGCAUAAGAUGGGGAUCUUCAGGCACCACUCCUCUGUAGUCAAGAAAAAUUGAAAGAUACAGAGGGUUAAUGUCCACAUUUCUUAAAUAAGCCAAUGAAAUUCACCGAUCAGCACCGGCGACAACCUACGACAACCUAUGACAAUCUACGACCUCCUGGCAACCCACUACCACUGCAUCUAGGUCACGAGAAUUCUCGCCACUCUCCAUGGCGUCAAAAUUCAGGUAGCCGCUAAUUUUUCAACAUUGGUUUUGUCUCUUUGCACUAUUAUUGUUUGUUUUUAUGUGUAUGUAUAAUAUAUACAUGUUGAAAAAUUAGUGGCGACCAGAAUGAAGCCGCUACUAGUUACGAGAAUGUGGGAACUACUCACCACCAUGCAGGCGACACCCUGGGAACCUCCGGUGAGCAUGUGGUGACCUCAUAGUCUCUUGUAGUCGCCUGAAAAAUCGCCUAAGUGGGACGGGCCCAUUAGAAUGCACUGAAAACUUGUCUUAUGAAAACAUAUUGCCUGGUUGCAUCACGGCCUGGUUUGGCAAUUUGAACACCCAGGAGCGAAGAAGACUGCAAAAAGUGGUGAACACUGCACAGACCAUCACAGGUUCUGACCUCACCUCCGUCAAAGUGGUUGCUGCCUCAAAAAGGUACUCAGCAUCAUCAGAGACCCACACCACCUUGGCCACACACUCAUUUCAUUCCUGCCAUCGGGAAGAAACUAAAACACCUGAAAACUAUAACGUCUAGAUUCAGGACAACUUCUUCCAUGCAGUCAUCAGGCUAUUAAACACUACAACCUCCAUAUAAGCUCUGAACUAUAUAGACUUGGGGGCAUUGGUUUUGUCUCUUUGCACUAUUAUUGUUUGUUUUUAUGUGUAUGUAUAAUAUAUACAUUGGACAACUGCUAGAAUCCUGAGCAAAACACAAAGUGUUAUAUAUAUAUAUAUAUACUGAACUUGUUUUUCUCAUUUAUUAUGUUGUUUAUAGAGUACUAUGUUUACAUAUUCUGUUGUGCUGCUGCAAGUACAUAUUUCAUUGUUCUGUCUGGGACAUUUGACAAUAAAACACUCUUGACUCUUGACUACAUUCUUUAAUACCAUGUUGGAGGCCAUCUGCACUGCAGGAUUAUGAUUUUUAUUUCUAUGGAGGAAAGAAAACUGCAGAUGCUAGCAAAAAUGUAUGGCAUGAGGCAGGAGUAAAUCUACCCCAUUUCUGGGCCUAAUGCUGGAAGCACUGUAAUUCUCAUUGGAUUAGGAAGAAUUAUCACAAUGGCACAUUCACUUUUAUCCUGAUGUGGCAAUUGACCUUAUUCACUCAUUACGCCCACUUUGCUUUACUCCAGUUCAUCACUUCUUACAGCCACAUGAGGGAAUGAUCAUUCCUCUGUAAUGGCAGUUAUGCAUUUGGGAGAUAUUAUUCUAGAAGUCUUAGCUAGUUGCAUGUUGGAGAUAAUACACAUUGCAGCUAAAAUUAUUUUUUAGGGUUGAAUAUUAACCACCUUUUAUGUGGGGUGGUUAGUCCUAAAUGAACUUGAGUUUCUUCAGUGUUGGAGCUACCAUUAGCUUAUCACAGGAAAGUGAUAAAAAUAUCAGGAAUGUCACCUGCACUAUCAAGCCUUUGCUGAAAGUUGUCCAGGCUUUGAUAUUAUGAUUACAAUCAAGCUACACGUACUGUCCAACAAUCUGCAGCUGAUGUUCCGUUUGCAUUUUGUCAGAACCACUCAGUUCCAAUCUCAUUACAACGAUUGCCUAAAUGUGGAUUGGAAGAAUUGAAGUUGAGAGCUAAAGUGAGAGUGAUUGUCUUUGACAUCAAAACCUGGCUACGAUUCAGGCAUGCAAUGGCAAGUGGAGAUUAUUUAAUCACAUGGCUGCCCUGUGCCAAGUAGGUGAUGAAAGUGCUUUGUGAGUUAAGGGGUAACUCACUUCCUAUAGGGUUUCAGGUCAUUGACUUGCUGUUAGAACUAUAAUAUUCAAUAUACAAUACUCCAACCUUCUUUCAUGUGGCAUCGAGUCAAGUCAUGGCAGCAACUGUAAUUUUAUAUUUAGAUCCUUAAAACAAGUAAUGGCUCUGGUGAUAGCAGAAAUGCAUCAGCUCAGUUCAUUCAUGUUUGUGGAUUAAGCAAUGAGUCAUAUGUUUUCAUAAAAUAAAAACAGCAAAUGUGGAGAUAUUCAGCAAGCCAGGCAGGGUCUGUGGAAAGAGAAACAGAAAUGUUUUAGAUCAAGGACUUUGUCAACAGUGGAAAAUAGAGCAAAGAGUUGGUAUUAUAAUAUAGAGAAGAUAGGGGAGGGAUGGAUAGGGCAAAUAUAGGGUGAAGCCAGGGCUGUGUUGGGAAUGAGCUGUAGAUUAAGUCAUUUGGUAGAUAGGAUAAUGAAGGCAAAUAGAGAGAGGCAGCGUUAGCAAAGAAAGUUGUGAAAUGAGGGCGGUUAGAGAGAGAGCACAAACAAAUGUGGAAAUUGAAAUGCAGAGCUGAAGGAAAUGCCCUGCAAGUCAAGUGCUAUGGGAGAGGAAAACUAACCAGCAUUACAGAUGGAGACAUGAGAGACUAGAUGCUGGAAUCUUCAGCAGAUAACAAACUGCUGGAGGAACUCAGAAGGUCAUGCACGAUUUUCUAAAGAGGGCUCCUGAUCCAAAACAUUGUCUGUUCAUUAUGUCACACACAUGCUGCCUGACCCAACGUUCCUCUAGAAGUUUGUUUUUAAAUCAGGUUUACAAAUGGAUGAGCCACAGUACGAUUGGUCACUUCUGAAGCAGUGUUCUUUUUCCAUAGUGUAUUCUUAAUCACUGAUUGUACAGUAGGAAUGUUUAUGGUUUCCAUUUCCAUUUAUGCUCCCCAAUUUAUACAUGGUAGCUUCUUGAUAAAUGUACCCUUAUUUUAAUGUUGCCAAUUAUCUGUUUUGAAUGUGUUGAAGGCAUUGUGAAGUUAAGAACCACAUGGGUUAGAGUGGGGGGCUUACCUCAAGCUCCUGCAUCAGGUCAACCUUGGAAUGGUUUUGGUGCUUGUACUAUCAAGAUAGGAAGCAAUCUUCAGAGGCACGUCUUUCAUGGACAUUCAUUUCAUGAGGUCUUCACUGUCUUCUUCCUUUGCAUUAUUACUCCACAUAGUGUAAAAAGCUGGGACUGAUGACUGCGUAAAGAGCUUUGUGUGUGUUGCUGUUGUUCUUCUUCAAUUGGAAUCCUCCAGCUGCAUCCAGAUGACAGUGUUUGUCUCAACCCUUUCCAUAACACAAAAGAAAAUCCCACAUCCUUCUAUUACAUGGCAUUGAUCUGAUGCCUCCCCAUUCCAUACAAGUUGAAAACCCAUUUGCUUUCCAAUUACCCCAAAUAUUUCCAACAAAAAUUUAGCGUCAAGAAGCAAAUUUUGUGUUUGUCCAAAGAAUGGAACAGAAUAUGGGUCUUCAAAAAUUCUUCAAAAUUGAGAGAAGAUCAAACAAGUUUUGAGAUGUUAAUAAAUAGGGAAGGAAAAAUUAGAUCGCAAAGAAAGGUCUCCGAAAGGCUGGAGGGAAAGAGAGAUUAAAUGACACAUUGUUGAUAGUUUAGGGGAAAAACAUAGGAUGAUAGAGGCAACUGUGAAUAAUAAAAAAUAGGUCAGGAGACGGUGUGAAACAGAUUAUUAGUAAUUCAAUAAGAUUUCCAGCAGCAAUAUAAAAAGUAAUGACUGCUGGAAAUAGUAGAUUCGAACGCUAAAUUACUAAUUAUAUGAAAUUGUUCCAUCUCAGUGGAAUCUAGAACCUGUAAUACGUGCAUUCUUCUGCAAUCCCAGAUCUUGACUCUCUUUUCUACACUUGAUGUGUACUGAUAUUUAGCUUCAGCAGAGGCUGAGACAGACUACUCAGAACUGUGCUAUGAUAGCUGAGAUGAUCAUAAGAAUUUAACAAGUUCUUAAUAAGAUGAAUUUAACAAAGCCAUGGUGGGUUCCAAGGACAGCUUCACCGGCACUGGUGUCAAGGCAGAUUUUACCAUGAAAAAUCAGCACACUAACCAGCCUGUGGAAAAAUAACUGAGGCAGGGAACAACUAUUGUUAAGGGAAUGUACAAUACUUUGGUUAGAGUCCCAUGUCCCCAGUCAACACUUUCCUUUUAUGACUCCCCAACAUUUCCCUACUAGCAACAUUUGCAUUGGGACCAGGUCUUUCAAUGUGUGCUAAUGUUUGUGCUGUACAUCAGAUACAUAUUUACUUACAUAGUAAAUGGUACGCACUGGAGAAUGUAGUAAAACAGAGAGAUCUAGGGGUUCAUGUUCAGAGCUCCCUGAAUGUGGUGACUCAGAUAGAGAGGAUGGUGAAGAAGAUGUUUGGCACGCUUACUUUCAUCCUUCAGGCAUUAAGUACAGAAGUUGGGAUCUCAUGUUGCAACUAUAAAGUCAUUGGUGAGACCACACUUGGAGAAUUGUCUAUGGGUCUGGUCACCCAGCUAUUGGAAGAAUGUCAGUAAGCUGGAAAGAGUGCAAUGGUGAUUUGUGAGGAUGUUACUGGAACUGGUUGGUUUUAGUUAUAAGGAUAGGCUGGAAUUAUUUUUCCUUGUAGUGUAGGAGGCUGAGGGAUGACCUUAUAGAGGCACAUAAAAUAAUGAGGACCGCAUAUAAAGUGCAUGGUGACAGAACAUUUCUCAAGGAUGGGAAAACUAGAAGAUUGAGAUUUCAGGUGAGAGGGGAAAGAUUAAUAGAGAUGUGAGGGGCAACUGUUUAAUACAGAGGGUGGUGGGUAUUUGGCCAGAGGAAGCUGUAGGGGAGGGUACAAUUACAAUGUUUAAAAGAUAUUUGGACAGGUUCGUGGAGUGAAAAGAUUUUGAGGAAAAUAUGCCAAACACAUGCAACUGGAACUAGGUCAGAUAGACAUCUUGUUCAACAUGAAUGAGUUAGGCUGAGGGGCCUGUUUACAUGCUGCAUAUCUCUAAGAAUCUGUGCCGCUGAAGAGGCAGAGUGUUUGAGUGAAGAGCAGGGAAAGUGAGGCCCGAUCCUGGACAAUAUCUCA